GGUGGCUCAGUGGUAGAGCACUUGCCUUGCAUGCAUGAGGCCCUGGGUUUGAUUCCGCAGCACCA
rnacentral:tRNA from 1 species